GACGAACCGUGCGAACGUUAUUCGGAAUCACUGGGCUUAAAGCGCGUGUAGGCGGGCCGGCACGUCGGUCGCUGAAAUCCCCCGGCUCAACCGGGGAAGGGGCGUCGAUACGACCGGCCUGGAGGGGGGUAGGGGGCGCGGAACUUCCGGUGGAGCGGUGAAAUGCGUUGAGAUCGGAAGGAACGCCCGUGGCGAAAGCGGGCGCCUGGACCCCACCUGACGACUGAGACGCGAAAGCCAGGGGAGCGAACGGG
rnacentral:rRNA from 1 species